AUGCUUCAGCAGCACAUAGACUAAAAUUGGAACACUACAGAGAAGAUUAGCAUGGUUCCUGUGCGAGGAUGACAUGCAGAUUUAUGAAGCUUUCCAUAGUUUC